AAGGAACAAUUGUCCUGAUGCAUAAAAGUGCGGAAUUUGCAGAAAAGAAGAUUAUACGAGGAUCAAUUGCCCUGUACUUAUAUGUAUUUAUAUAAGUAUUAUAUAAACAUUAUAUUCUUUUGCAAGGCAAAUGAUAUAUAAUACGCCUCGUUUUACGUAAAGAAUUGUUAUUCGCUUUAGAAAUUACACGAUUUUAUCUUCAUUAACCAGUUUUUACUCUAGGUCGUUUGUUGGUCAGACAUCAUACGAUCAUUAUUCAGUCUUUAUUCUUGGUUGUUUGUUGGACAGACAUCGAUUAACUUUCGUUAUAAUUAAUAUGUACUUGGGUCGAUCGCAAUCGUCACGUUCCGCUAAAAACAUUUUCAAUAUUUUCGAGAUAAAAAAUCUGACUCUAACUCAUAGGCCGAGGAUUAAGACUAACAAAUUUGUUUAGAUAUAUUUAUUGUAAAUAUAUAAUGUACAAUUUGUAACAAUUGGAGUUAUAAAAAGCUUAAUUAGAACGCAGUAA